GGAAGCCAAUUGGUCAACUAAAAAGCCCCAAAACCUAGCCCUUCUUUUUCUAGCUCCAGCCGCCACACUUCCCUACUCCAUCUCCUUUUGUCUUUUUCUUUAUCAACCUUAUUAAGUUGUGGUUGAUUCACAGGCUAUUGUGCUUAUGCAGCCUAUUUCAAAGAACGCAUACUAAAUAUUCGAUUGACUUGAAUGAACGCUCUGACUAUUGCUUAGGCAAAUAUGUGAAAUUAGUAGAGCUCAAUUGAAAAGCUAAUAGAUGUUGAUCAAACUAAGGUGCAGAUGAAGACAAUGACAGGAAAGAAAGGGAGAAGAUUGUGCAGCAAUGGGUCUCAAGCAAGAUUGUGCAGCAAUGGGUCUCAACUAUAGUAUUAGUACUAUAGUUGGUGUCAGAGAUCAAUUAUGUACUCUAAAUGUUUUGAAAUUUAAAAAUACAAUUAUGUAUCAGUUGUAACUUACUUUGGAAUCUAAAAAAUGUAUAUUCUUAGCUACAUUACACAAAUUCUUGUUAACAAUUUAUGUGACAGAUUUUUCAAUUUAUAGCAAUAAAAUUAUUGAAUUAACA